GGCUGCAAGGGCCGAAGGGAGGGAAGUAGGACAUUUGCAAGAAUUUAAACUUCCGUGCCUGAGGGGAGGGAACACGCCUGGAGAGACGUUUUUAAAGUCCAUGUUUUCAGUUCUUCUCUCAGCAGCUGAGGAGAGAGGAGCUAAGGACUGGGGACAGAGGUGAUGGACACAGUGAAAGAAGAGGUCCAUGCAGGACUUCUUGAAAGAGCCGAUGAGUAAAUCCUUGAAACACCUUUUGUGAAAGUAUCAAAAGAUAAAUUGGUGUGGAAGUACCAGUUGGGAAACUCUGACGCUGCUCUAAACUACAGAUGGAAAGAUCGUGAUUUGCUAUCUUUGCAGUUGUGACCAGAGAGAUUGAUGUUGGGGCUUGGUCUCAAGGUGAAGUAUUUUUAUUAUGAAAGUAACAUGUGCUCAUCAUCAGUAAUUAACCCAGAACUGGAAGAAUUUCCCAAUCCCAGCUCCUACUAAGUAUGAGUAUGUGGGUGAGACGCUAAAGACAGAAACCAGUUCAUGAUGACAGAGACCAGAACGGAAGCGCUAAUGUAGCACGUGGAUCUGGCAGAAUAUGUCAAGUGGGCAGAAACCGUGGUGGGUGAACAGACUUCACGGCUCCUCACUCCUCCCACAAAAUAAAGAGCCAUUCCGUCAUCACUUGCUCAUCCGACCACCGAAGAGCUGUCUCAAAGCAGGUGUUAAUGAGGAUUUUAAAUGACUGCUGCAAAAUGUUUUCCAAUGGCCCUCAGUUUAUAUAAAUAGUAAAACUGCCUUUGAUUUUAUGAAAAUGACUUCUGAGUACUUCUAAGCCUCUUUAACUACAGCCAUGGCCAAACAGAAAAUAGCAUUUAAAUCUCCCCCAAAAUAUUAACAAUGGCAUCUUAGAAAAAAAUGUAGAGGUGUAUCUGAGUAUGUGUAUGUUAUUAAGGAAAGAGAAUAUGUACAGAAACGAGUUAACAUAGCAUGCCUGAGGUCAUCACAUGUAGAAAGAACUCCUUGAGACACGACCUCUGGCAGGUAUCUGCAGACUUGAAUGGUAUCAGUGUCUUACACUAUGUGAAACUUUUCUUUCAUGACAAGAUGGCUCACUGCCUAGACUGUUGACAAACAAUAUGGCUUAUGCUGAAUAUCUGCUGUCAUUUUUGGAAUCUUGGAUGUUGGUAUGGUCUAGGUAGAGAGUGCAUGCAUGCAUAGUUUCCAGUAAAAACAGUGGGCAUUGUCUCUAAUGAGCCUCGCUACUAUCUAGCAUUUCCCACGUAUUUCCAACCAGUGGCUGGAGGAGUUAAGUGUAUCAUCUGGCUCCACUGGGGAAGGUCUUGAAAGACUUCCAGAUUUCUCUUUGAAGAUUUUGCUUUGAUUCCCCCCUUUGUAAUAAAUCUUAGACAUGAGUACCUGGGUAUGCUGAGUCCUGUGAGCUCUCACAGGGAAUCAAAACCUGGAAAUGGGUUAUGGGACCCACAUCACAGAAAGGAUGGCCAUUUAGCUGCUAAUCAAUUACCUUUCAUGUGAGUGUUGAUCUGUCUUAGGGAAAAAUUAACCAAGCCUUUGACCAUUCAGAAUAUAAUUACAUUUACACCUCUAGACUGUGCAGCAUUUCCUGAGCACCAGUCCAUUCUUGGUGAUUGUUAAAAAUGAAAUCAUAUUUGUUAUAUAUAAUAAAGCUCAGAAUUUUAAAAAAAUUAUGUAAGCCAGACUCUAAAAGGUGGUUUCCACAACAGCUGUGACUUGAUUACCUUAUGUAUGUAUUAUUGUGAACACAGUUUUAACUUCUGUACUUCUACAGAUGAUAAUACAGGCAGAGUUUCUAUGGGAACCAUGAUGAAUCUUGUCAAAGGAUACAUGCACCAAGGCACCAAACUUAAACGACUAUGCACAGAGACUCAGCAUAUGUAUUGCUAGAGUGAAGCAUAGGUAAAUGCAGUAUUACAAAUCUUUUCUGUCAACCAUGCAUUUCUAAACCAGAACCUUAAUACUGCAUGAAUAAUUUGACAUUUAAAUACCACCUCUUCUGAUUUUCAGGGCAAAAUAUGUGUAGGAGAGAAUCUAACAAGCUGAUUGAUCAUCUUUCUGUAGGUUUAAAAAUACCAGCUUUAGUUAAAAUAUUGUAAUAGAGGAAAUAUCUAAUCUAAUGUUUAAAUAUAUGUAUUUCAGUGAAUUAAUACUUUAUUUUUAUUUUCACUGAUAACUAUAUUUUUUAUGGUAUGGUUUCAGAAUGGAAAAUACAAUCAAUGUAAAAUGUUGCAUAAAAUUAUUCUUUUAGGGCCAGGGAUUUAGCUCAGCGGUUCGGUGGCCUGCCUUGCAA